rnacentral:rRNA from 1 species
UACGUAGGGGGCAAGCGUUGUCCGGAUUUAUUGGGCGUAAAGAGCGUGUAGGCGGUCGUGACAAGUCACUUGUGAAAUCUCCGGGCUUAACUCGGAACGGUCAAGUGAUACUGUCGGACUAGAGUACAGAAGGGGCAACUGGAAUUCUCGGUGUAGCGGUGAAAUGCGUAGAUAUCAGUCGGAACACCCAUGGCGAAGGCAGCUAUCUGGGCUAACAUUGACGCUGAGGUGCGAAAGUGUGGGGAGCGAACGGG